rnacentral:rRNA from 1 species
CCUACGGGAGGCAGCAGUGGGGAAUUUUGGACAAUGGGCGAAAGCCUGAUCCAGCCAUGCCGCGUGCAGGAUGAAGGCCUUCGGGUUGUAAACUGCUUUUGUACGGAACGAAAAGGUCUUUUCUAAUAAAGAAGGCUCAUGACGGUACCGUAAGAAUAAGCACCGGCUAACUACGUGCCAGCAGCCGCGGUAAUACGUAGGGUGCGAGCGUUAAUCGGAAUUACUGGGCGUAAAGCGUGCGCAGGCGGUUAUAUAAGACAGUUGUGAAAUCCCGGGCUCAACCUGGAACUGCAUCUGUGACUGUAUAGCUAGAGUACGGUAGAGGGGGAUGGAAUUCCGCGUGUAGCAGUGAAAUGCGUAGAUAUGNGAGAACGACGAUGCGAAGGACAACUCCCUCGACCUCGUACUGACGCUCAUGCACGAAAGACGGUGGGGAGGCAAACAAGAGUAGUAUACCUACGGUAGUCCACCGACCCUAAACCGAAUAGUCAACUAGGUUGGUUUGGGUUCGUUCUACUGACUCAGUAACGAAAGACUAACGACGUGAGUUAGACCGCCGNGGGGAGGUACGGGCCGGCGAAGGUUAGUUAAAGUUAAAAUUAAGUUAAAGUUAGUAGGCGUUGAGAGUUGCCGAACGGACGACGACGAGGGAGGAGGNG